rnacentral:lncRNA from 1 species
AGAGUCCAAUUUCAACACAGAGGAAUUUCACCCAAUAGGAAAAAAUUUUCUUCUUUAGAUACUGUUAUGCUAAAUCAACCAAGAAAACAUUUAAAGGUUGCUUCACCAGAAAAUUAGAAGAGUCUCCCUGGCUUUACGGGAAGAACAACUCACAAAAUAUAGAUUAAUCUGUGAUGUCAUCUUUGUAUGUGAUGAACUGCAUGUUUUACCAAACUAGGAGAUCUAAGGUCUUGCAGAUGAGCUGGUUGUAAACUUACCUCUAAGAGAGAAUAUGGAGAAUUCUCGGUCAAGAAUGUAUUAACAGCACAUUCUUUCCAAGCCUGAACCUCAGCUACUAGGGUUUCCACAAGAAAAAUUACAGCAGUUUAGAGAAAAGAACACUCCUAUGAAAAACAGGAAAAGCUUAAUUCAGAUUGGUCCAUUGAGUACUUCAGAUUACUCCAUGAUCUCAACAUGCUAAAUUCACAAACGCUGACUAACCUGCCAGCUGACCAAUGAUAUUGGGGGUAGAAGUGACAUUUGUUCCUUCAUUACACAAACAGAGAACCUAGUUUGGGUCUUUUGUUGGUGGUGGUGGUAGUGUUUUUUUUUUUUUUUUUCUUUUUUUAAGACGGAGUAUCACUCUUGCCUGGGCUGCAAUGCAGUGGUGCAAUCUCAGCUCACUGCAACCUCUACCUCCGGUUCAAGCAAUUCUCCUGCCUCAGCCUCCCGGGUAGCUGGGAUUACAGGCACCCAUCACCACGCCCA